GACGAACGCUGGCGGCGUGCUUAACACAUGCAAGUCGAACGGAAAGGCCCUGGUUUUGUGGGGUGCUCGAGUGGCGAACGGGUGAGUAACACGUGAGUAACCUGCCCUUGACUUUGGGAUAACUUCAGGAAACUGGGGCUAAUACCGGAUAGGAGCUCCUGCUGCAUGGUGGGGGUUGGAAAGUUUCGGUGGUUGGGGAUGGACUCGCGGCUUAUCAGCUUGUUGGUGGGGUAGUGGCUUACCAAGGCUUUGACGGGUAGCCGGCCUGAGAGGGUGACCGGCCACAGUGGGACUGAGAUACGGCCCAGACUCCUACGGGAGGCAGCGGUGGGGAAUAUUGCAAAAUGGGCGGAAGCCUGAUGCAGCAACGCCGCGUGCGGGAUGACGGCCUUCGGGUUGUAAACCGCUUUCGCCUGUGACGAAGCGUGAGUGACGGUAAUGGGUAAAGAAGCACCGGCUAACUACGUG
rnacentral:rRNA from 1 species